rnacentral:tRNA from 1 species
AUUUAAAUAGUUUAAUUUAAAAUAUUGAUUUGUGGAAUCAAUGAUGUAUUUAAUACUUUAGAUU